rnacentral:rRNA from 1 species
AACGUAGGAGACAAACGUUAUCCGGAGUUACUGGGCGUAAAGGGCGUGUAGGUGGUAAUGUAAGUCUGGCGUGAAAUUUUUCGGCUUAACCGGGAAAGGUCGUCGGAUACUGCGUAACUAGAGGACGGUAGAGGCGUGUGGAAUUCCGGGUGUAGUGGUGAAAUGCGUAGAGAUCCGGAAGAACACCGGUGGCGAAGGCGGCCUGCUGGGCAGUAGCUGACACUGAGGGCGCGACAGCGUGGGGAGCAAACAGG